rnacentral:rRNA from 1 species
UACGUAGGGUGCGAGCGUUAAUCGGAAUUACUGGGCGUAAAGCGUGCGCAGGCGGUUUUGUAAGCCAGAUGUGAAAUCCCCGGGCUUAACCUGGGAAUGGCAUUUGGGACUGCAAGGCUUGAGUGCGGCAGAGGAGAUUGGAAUUCCUGGUGUAGCAGUGAAAUGCGUAGAUAUCAGGAGGAAUACCGAUGGCGAAGGCAGGUCUCUGGGCUGACACUGACGCUCAUGCACGAAAGCGUGGGGAGCAAACAGG